rnacentral:rRNA from 1 species
AUUGAACGCUGGCGGCAGGCCUAACACAUGCAAGUCGAACGCGUGGCGGACGGGUGAGUAUUGUCUGGUAACCUGCCUGAUGGUGGGGGAUAACUACUGGAAACGGUAGCUAUUACCGCCUACCCUCCGAUGUGCCCAGAUGGGAUUAGCUCGUUGGUGGGGUAACGGCUCACCAAGGCUACGUUCCCUAGCUGGUCUGAGAGGAUGACCAGGCACACUGGAGUGGAGAUACGAUCCAGACCAAUACGGUAGGCGGCAGUGGAGAAUUGUGGAUAGGGGGCGCAAGCGUAGUGCGGCCAUGCCGCGUGGAGGAAGAGGGCCGUGGGGUUGUAGAGUACUUGCAGAGGGGAGUCGUUACCCGAAGAAGAAGCACCGGCUAACGCCGUGCCAGCAGCCGCGGUAAUGC